AUCCCCUACCAAUUCUCAUCUUCAAGACUCACAAAGUGACACAAACGUAGAUCUCAUGUUACUCGAUGCUCCCACUUCUAGUGAUAAAGAGAUCGCAGGAACUAAACUAAAUACUCCCACUUCCAGUGUUAAAGAGAUCAAAGAAAUCACUCUAACACACCGGAGUAGGAUGUAUGCACCAUGGAAAUACUCUGUUAUUGUUAAGUUGGUUGGGAAAAGAAUCCAACAUCAAUAUCCAAAAGAAAAAAUCACAAAGCUAUGGAAACCCAGUGAACCGUUUCCUCUAAUUGAUUUGGGACUUGAUUUUUUCAUUGUUAAAUUCUCCAAAGAAGAAAAUAUGUCCCUAGCCCUACAAAACGGACCAUGGUUCAUCAAUGGUUAUUUCCUCUCAACAAGACAGUGGGAGCCAAAUUUCGUGGCAGGCAAAGCAAAACAAAUCCAUACGGCAGUAUGAGUUCGUUUACCGUAACUCCCCGCGAAAUUCUAUGAUGGAUUAAUACUGAAAAAAGUUGGUAACUCUAUAGGGAGGCUGCUCAAGAUAGACGCUUGCACCAGCUCCACACUCAGAGCCAGAUAUGCGCGACUCUGUGUUGAACUACCACUAGACAAGCUAGUUCAAACAUGCAUAUUAAUUGGUACACACCUUCAACAGAUUGUGUAUGAAGGACUAAAUUUCCUAUGCAAGAACUGUGGCCACCUUGGGCACACAGCUACCACAUGCACGCUCAUAUCAACAAAGUCAGAGCAACUACAAGAAUCCAACAACAAGGCACAAAACUAUGCCACUGACGAGAGCAAUCCACUCCCCCCACCAGAAGAUCAAUGGCAAGUAGUCACCUUCAAUAGGCGGAAAACCAAAGAACAUGAGAACCUGUUGAAAAUAAACGCAAGAAUUCCUUAACAAAAAAUGCACUACCAGGUCAUUACUGAAGAAACCGAAGAAUCCACCGAUCCGGUAUAACUUCAGGGAGGGAAACAAAGUUGCUCACUUUUUGGCCACCCAGGGAUCCAAGCAAACAAACAAUAGCCCACUAUCUCUUUUGGAACAACCCCCGAAUGCUCUUUUGAAAGCAGUCCGUGAUGAUAGAAUUGGAUGCACAAAUUCUAGGCUAGUAUCUACUACUGUAUUUGCUAAGUUAGUUGAACUUGGGAAUCCAUUUGUAACUUGCACUCCUAAUGUAAACAACAUGGUGGUAGCACGGGCGAAGCUACAUUAUCACAAUGGUGGUCAAUUGAUCACCUUUUGUCAAAAAAUUAUACUGCGUAGAUAGGUAAAAUAUUAGAUUUUAGAGGUAUAUGACAUAUAUUGAACACCCUUUAUCAGAGAAUUUUUUUACUUCUUUCAAGUUUGAACACCUUUGAAUAAAUUUCUGAUUUUGCUACUGGGUGGCUGUA